rnacentral:rRNA from 1 species
AUGCACGCUGGCGGCGUGCCUAAUACAUGCCAGUCGCGCGAACAGACGAGGGGCUUGCUCCUCUGACGUUAGCGGCGGACGGGUGAGUAACACGUGGAUAACCUACCUAUAAGACUGGGAUAACUUCGGGAAACCGGAGCUAAUACCGGAUAAUAUAUUGAACCGCAUGGUUCAAUAGUGAAAGACGGUUUUGCUGUCACUUAUAGAUGGAUCCGCGCCGCAUUAGCUAGUUGGUAAGGUAACGGCUUACCAAGGCAACGAUGCGUAGCCGACCUGAGAGGGUGAUCGGCCACACUGGAACUGAGACACGGUCCAGACUCCUACGGGAGGCAGCAGUAGGGAAUCUUCCGCAAUGGGCGAAAGCCUGACGGAGCAACGCCGCGUGAGUGAUGAAGGUCUUCGGAUCGUAAAACUCUGUUAUUAGGGAAGAACAAAUGUGUAAGUAACUAUGCACGUCUUGACGGUACCUAAUCAGAAAGCCACGGCUAACUACGU